CUUCUUUUGUUCUUUUCAAAAUAGCCCAGAAUUUGGUUUAAAAAAGUAUUUUCAUGCAAAAACCAGCAUUUAACUUUUGUAUACACUCCUUGUGAUAGCAGCCAUGUUGCCAAAAUAUCACCCGGUUAAUGAAUAACUUGCGGUACUUUCAUUGUAUUCGCAUUGACCAAUCAAAUCACGUUCUGAGUUGGAUUAUCCCAGGGCUUCUGAGAGCAAUAAGCGCAGAAGCCCUGGGUACGAGGUUGAUACGGCUCCGUAUUAAAAUACGGCUCCGUCUCAUUAUAUUAACUAUGGUUAGAUUGUGUGUUAUACUUUUUGUCCUCAAGAUUUCUCCAAGUUGUACAAAGUCAAUUAUAUUCAUUGGAUGCACAAAGAGAAAAGAACGCUG